rnacentral:rRNA from 1 species
UACGUAGGGACCGAGCGUUGUCCGGAUUCAUUGGGCGUAAAGAGCUCGUAGGCGGCUCGUUGCGUCGGCUGUGAAAACCCGCAGCUCAACUGUGGGCUUGCAGCUGAUACGGGCGGGCUGGGAUUCGGUAGGGGAGACUGGAAUUCCUGGUGUAGCGGUGAAAUGCGCAGAUAUCAGGAGGAACACCGGUGGCGAAGGCGGGUCUCUGGGCCGAUAUCGACGCUGAGGAGCGAAAGCGUGGGGAGCGAACAGG